ensembl:lncRNA
UUGCCUGGAUAUUAAAUGAAAGCUUCCUUUGCUACAAUUUCCACUGAUGUUUGUGGAUGAUUACUAUUUACACUUAUCACAUGUAAGGAAUCACUUGGACAGCUAAAAACUGUACCAGCACACACUGAACAGUGAGGAAAGAUGGAAGCUGUGCUUGGAUUGAUGAUUAUUCUACUGGGAGUUGCUCAUGUGCAUGAAUAUACAAGUACAACUUCAAAACCGGACGCCAACGUUUUCACUCGCCUCUGAGGCUGAUUACUAACACAUUGGAGUCCAUUCAGAGCACCACACCCACCUUUGUUUUUGAGGGAAAAGCUGCUAACUUGAUCAACACAGGCUGAACAGACAUGGAAGCUGCAGUUGGACUGUUGCUGGUGUUGCUUAGAGUCUCUCAUGGUGUGAAAACUCACUGUGAUGGCAGACAGGAUGGAGCUCAGUGUUAUGGAGCUUUGGGAGGAACUGUGGACAUCCAGCUGAUGGACAGCACCUCAGAAAUACCUAGAUACUACUUGUUAAAGGAUUCAUUAAAAAUACUAAAUGUCAGAAAUAAUAAGGUUCUUUCUAAUACCACAGAACGCAGGUCUCUCUUUUUUUCCAGUAAUAGAACAUUUAGGAUCAAUAACCUGAGCAGGACAGACAGUGGUAAAUAUACCCUUCAAACCUUUGAUUCAGAUGGACAUUCAUCAGGCGUGCGGACUUUACAGUUGUUUUUUCAAGCUCCUGUGUCCUCUGUCCUGCUGGUCUCUGAGUGUCUGUCCCAGGGAGAGAUGAGGGUGUCCUGCUCCUCUGAGGGAGGGGACAGUCCUCAGUACAGCUGGACUCUGGAUGGACACACACUGACAGAUGCUGAGCUCCUUUCUGUAAAUAAUAAGACUAACAUCAUCACUCUGAAACAGCACGUCUCAGGACGUCUGGUCUGCUCAGUCAGGAACAACGUCAGUAAUGUCCCCAAAGAAGAGAUGAUAUCUACCUGUGGCUUUAUUUUCAUUAACUGUACUUUAGUCAAUGGGACAAAGAUAUCAGAGUGGGUGUAUGAAGCUAAUAACACCCUGUGUACUCAACCAAAACAGACUUCGAUGGGUAAAGACUAUGGAACUACCAUCAGUGAUGAACCAUGGUACAUUAGGAAUUUGCCACUGAUAGGUGGUGUUCUCUCAGCGCUGGUAAUUUUCUUGGUUGUUGGUGUAGCAGUCAUAUGUGCUCGGAGGAAAAAGCAAAACAGCAAACCUACAAAAAAGGAGGAAGAAGAUGACCAGGAAGUCUUUCCUGAUGCCAAGUUUGUCAAAAGGCCGGCAAACCAAGCUGAGAAAAAAGUGGCGGUGGAGUACGGCCAAGUCAAGUCUGCAAAGCGACCUCGGAGGCCUGAACCAACAGGAACUGAUUGUGUGUAUGCUAACGUCCACAAAGUCAGGUGAUGAAGUGCUCAGUGCUUUUAGACAGACAGCUCCACUGAAGGUAGUUGGAGUGAGGAGCUGAUGUUAAGAUAUUCCUAAAGGUCCUUGAUUUAAUGUAAUUUCCCAGCAUAAAAAUACAAACCAUAGCUUAUAAAUGUUAAUUUACUGGCUUAUUUAACUUUUAAUGCACUGCUGUAUUAUAUCAGGUUAUUAACACAUCUGUUGUUAUAUGACCUCUUGAUUUAAUUACAAAACACUGAGUGUUUUCUGCAUCUGUACUCUGUGGAAGCCAUAUAUAACACAGGUUAUGACUGCUAUUUAGGACGCUUUCUCUUUUAACUUGACUAGUUUUUCACUUGGUAAAGGUUCGACUAAUGUGUAAAUAGAGACAUGAUAAAGAGAAAGCACUUCAUCCUUUAUGAAAAUAUGACUGCAUAAAGUCAUAAAGCUUCUUUUGAACCAUACAUGUUAUGUAAAAAAAAAAAACAUUACUGGCUUUUAAUAUAUUUUUGCUUUUGCAAAGAUAUGCUUUAACAAUGUACUUGUAUAAUAUAAAUUGGAUAUAUAUACCCCUGAGAGUGAGUACAUAGUAGUGAUGGACAAGUAGAGGAAAAAGGCUGUAGUGACAGAUGUGGCUAUACCAAGUGAAUGCAACAUCAGGAAGAAGGAACACAAGAAGAUCGAGAAAUACCAAGGGCUGAAAGAGGAGCUAGAGAAGAUGUGGAAGGUUAGGCCAACAGUGGUCCCAGUUGUAAUUGGAGCACUUGGAGCUGUGACUCCCAAAAUGGGCAAGCGGCUCAGAGAUUCCAGGAACAACAUCCAAGAUCUGUGUCCAGAAGAGCACAGUCCUAGGAACAGCAAAGAGACUGCACAGGACCCUCAAGCUCCCACACCUCUGGCAGAAGACCCCAGCUGAAAAAAUAGAGACCACCCACAGAUUGAGUGUGGAAUUUAUAUACAGGGAGUUCAGAAUUAUUAGGCAAAUGAGUAUUUUGUCCACAUCAUCCUCUUCAUGCAUGUUGUCUUACUCCAAGCUGUAUAGGCUCGAAAGCCUACUACCAAUUAAGCAUAUUAGGUGAUGUGCAUCUCUGUAAUGAGAAGGGGUGUGGUCUAAUGACAUCAACACCCUAUAUCAGGUGUGCAUAAUUAUUAGGCAACUUCCUUUCCUUUGGCAAAAUGGGUCAAAAGAAGGACUUGACAGGCUCAGAAAAGUCAAAAAUAGUGAGAUAUCUUGCAGAGGGAUGCAGCAGUCUUAAAAUUGCAAAGCUUCUGAAGCGUGAUCAUCGAACAAUCAAGCGUUUCAUUCAAAAUAGUCAACAGGGUUGCAAGAAGCGUGUGGAAAAACCAAGGCGCAAAAUAACUGCC